UACAGAGGGUGCAAGCGUUAAUCGGAGUUACUGGGCGUAAAGGGCGCGUAGGUGGUUAUAUAAGUGAGAUGUGAAAUCCCUGGGCUUAACCUAGGAACUGCAUCUUAUACUGUGUAGCUUGAGUAUUGUAGAGGGUAGUGGAAUUUCCGGUGUAGCGGUGAAAUGCGUAGAGAUCGGAAGGAACACCAGUGGCGAAGGCGGCUACCUGGACAAAUACUGACACUGAGGCGCGAGAGCGUGGGUAGCAAACAGG
rnacentral:rRNA from 1 species